CCUGGCUAUCUGUAAUGAUAUCUGAGUGUUGGAGUGUUCCCCUGGCUAUCUGUAAUGAUGUCUGAGUGUUGGAGUGUUCCCCUGGCUAUCUGUAAAUGAUGUGUGAGUGUUGGAGUGUUCCCCUGGCUAUCUGUAAUGACGUGUGAGUGUUGGAGUGCCCCUGGCUAUCUGUAAAUGAUGUGUGAGUGUUGGAGUGUUCCCCUGGCUAUCUGUAAUGAUAUCUGAGUGUUGGAGUGUUCCCCUGGCUAUCUGUAAAUGAUGUCUGAGUGUUGGAGUGUUCCCCUGGCUAUCUGUAAAUGAUGUCUGAGUGUUGGAGUGUUCCCCUGGCUAUCUGUAAAUGAUGUCUGAGUGUUGGAGUGUUCCCCUGGCUGUCUGUAAAUGAUGUCUGAGUGUUGGAGUGUUCCCCUGGCUAUCUGUAAAUGAUGUCUGAGUGUUGGAGUGUUCCCCUGGCUAUCUGUAAAUGAUGUCUGAGUGUUGGAGUGUUCCCCUGGCUAUCUGUAAUGAUGUCUGAGUGUUGGAGUGUACCCCUGGCUAUCUGUAAAUGAUGUCUGAGUGUUGGAGUGUUCCCCUGGCUAUCUGUAAUGAUGUCUGAGUGUUGGAGUGUUCCCCUGGCUAUCUGUAAAUGAUGUGUGAGUGUUGGAGUGCCCCUGGCUUUCUGUAAUGAUUUCUGAGUGUGAUUGUGUUCCCUGGCUAUCUGUAAUGAUGUCUGAGUGUUGGAGUGUUCCCCCUGGCUAUCUGUAAUGAUGUCUGAGUGUUCCCCUGGCUAUCUGUAAUGAUAUCUGAGUGUUGGAGUGUUCCCCUGGCUAUCUGUAAAUGAUGUCUGAGUGUUGGAGUUGUUCCCUGGCUAUCUGUAAUGAUAUCUGAGUGUUGGAGUGUUCCCCUGGCUAUCUGUAAUGAUGUCUGAGUGUUGGAGUGUUCCCCUGGCUAUCUGUAAAUGAUGUCUGAGUGUUGGAGUGUUCCCCUGGCUGUCUGUAAAUGAUGUCUGAGUGUUGGAGUGUUCCCCUGGCUAUCUGUAAAUGAUGUCUGAGUGUUGGAGUGUUCCCCUGGCUAUCUGUAAAUGAUGUCUGAGUGUUGGAGUGUUCCCCUGGCUAUCUGUAAAUGAUGUCUGAGUGUUGGAGUGUUCCCCUGGCUGUCUGUAAAUUAUGUCUGAGUGUUGGAGUGUUCCCCUGGCUAUCUGUAAAUGAUGUCUGAGUGUUGGAGUGUUCCCCUGGCUGUCUGUAAAUGAUGUCUGAGUGUUGGAGUGUUCCCCUGGCUAUCUGUAAAUGAUGUCUGAGUGUUGGAGUGUUCCCCUGGCUAUCUGUAAUGAUGUCUGAGUGUUGGAGUGUUCCCUGGCUAUCUGUAAUGAUGUCUGAGUGUUGGUGUUGUUCCCUGGCUAUCUGUAAUGAUGUCUGAGUGUUGGAGUGUUCCCCUGGCUAUCUGUAAAUGAUGUCUGAGUGUUGGAGUGUUCCCCUGGCUGUCUGUAAAUGAUGUCUGAGUGUUGGAGUGUUCCCCUGGCUGUCUGUAAAUGAUGUCUGAGUGUUGGAGUGUUCCCCUGGUUACCUGUAAAUUUUGCAAACAAGUAAACUGUGCCGUCUGGUUUGCUAAAUAUAAGGAAUUUGAAAUUAUUUAUACUUUUACUUUUACUUUUGAUACUUAAGUAUAUUUUAACAAUUACAUAUAUUUUUGAUAAUUAAGUACAUUUUAAACCAAAUAUUUUUAGACUUUAACUCAAGUAGUAUUUUACUAGGUGACCUUUACUUUUACUUGAGUCAUUUUCAAUUAAGGUAUCAUUACUUUUACUCAAGUAUGACAAUUGGGUACUUUCCACCACUGCCAGUACCCAGUCGAUGUGCAGGUGUACGAUGUAAUUGAGGUCGAUAUGUACAUAUAGGGAUAAAGUGACUAAGCAGCAGGAUAGAUAAUAAACCGUAGCAGCAGUGUAUGUGAAGAGUCCAAAAAAAGUUAGUGGAAUAAGGUUCAAUGCAGAUCAAUCUGGGUAGCUAUUUAACUAACUAUUUAACUAACUAUUUAACUAACUAUUUAGUAGUCUUAUGCCUUGGAGGUCGAAGCUGUUCAGGAUCCUGUUGGUUCCAGACUUGGUGCAUCGGAACCGCUCGCCGUGCGGUAGCAGAGAGAACUGUCUGUGACUGGGGUGGCUGGAGUCUUUGACUAUUGUUAGGACCUUCCUCUGACACCACCUGGGAUAGAGGUCCUUGAUGGCAGGAAGCUUGGUCCCAGUGAUGAACUGGGCCGUACACACUACCUUCUGUAGCGUCUUACGGUCAGAUGCCAAGCCGUUACCAUACCAAGUGGUGAAGCAGCCAGUCAAGAUGCUCUCAAUGGCGCAGCUGUAGAACUUUCUGAGGAUCUGAGGACUCAUGCUGAAUCUUCUUCCUGAGAGGAAAGAGGCGUUGUCAUGCUCUCUUCACGACUGUAUUGUGUGUGUGUGGACCAUGAUAAUUCCUUAUUGAUGUGGACACCAAGGAACUUUAAACUCUCGACUCGCUCCACUGCAGCCCCAUCAAUGUGCUCGGCUGACCUCCUCCCUAUAGGCUGUCUCAUCGUUGAGGGAGAGGUUGUUAUCCUGACACCACACUGCCAGGUCUCUGACCUCCUCCCUAUAGGCUGUCUCAUCGUUGAGGGAGAGGUUGUUAUCCUGACACCACACUGCCAGGUCUCUGACCUCCUCCCUAUAGGCUGUCUCAUCGUUGAGGGAGAGGUUGUUGUCCUGACACCACACUGCCAGGUCUCUGACCUCCUCCCUAUAGGCUGUCUCAUCAGGCCAACCACCGUCGAGUCGUCAGUAAACCUAAUGAUGGUGUUGGAGUCAUGCAAUCGUGGGUGAACAGGGGGUACAGGAAUCACCCCUGAGGGGUCCCCUUGUUGAGAGUCAGCGUGGUGGAUGUGUUGUCACCUACCCUUACCACCUGGGGGCGGCCCGUCAGGAAGUCCGGGAUCCACUUGCAGAGGGAGGUGUUCAGUCCCAGGGUCCUGAUCUUAGUGAUGAGUUUGAAGGGCACAAUGGUGUUGAAUGCUGAGCUAUCAAUGAGGGAUCAUAGCUUUCACCUGGAUUCACCUGGUCAGUCUAUGUCAUGGAAAAGAGCAUGUGUUCCUAAUGUUUUGUACACUCAGUUUAUAAUGUCCUUAUUCAGUCAUGAUUCUGAAAAGCAUAGGAUAUUACAGUUGUUGGGGUCUUGUUGAUGGGAUAGUCUCGAAUGGAUCUCAUCCAGGUUGUUGGGGUCUUGUUGAUAGGAUAGUCUCGAAUGGAUCUCGUCCGGGUUGUUGGGGUCUUGUUGAUGGGAUAGUCUUGAAUGGAUCUCAUCCAGGUUGUUGGGGUCUUGUUGAUGGGAUAGUCUCGAAUGGAUCUCGUCCGGGUUGUUGGGGUCUUGUUGAUGGGAUAGUCUCGAAUGGAUCUCGUCCGGGUUGUUGGGGUCUUGUUGAUGGGAUAGUCUCGAAUGGAUCUCGUCCGGGUUGUUGGGGUCUUGUUGAUAGGAUAGUCUCGAAUGGAUCUCGUCCGGGUUGUUGGGGUCUUGUUGAUAGGAUAGUCUCGAAUGGAUCUCGUCCGGGUUGUUGGGGUCUUGUUGAUAGGAUAGUCUCGAAUGGAUCUCAUCCGGGUUGUUGGGGUCUUGUUGAUGGGAUAGUCUCGAAUGGAUCUCGUCCGGGUUGUUGGGGUCUUGUUGAUAGGAUAGUCUCGAAUGGAUCUCGUCCGGGUUGUUGGCGUCUUGUUGAUGGGAUAGUCUCGAAUGGAUCUCGUCCGGGUUGUUCUCCAGUGUACAAUAGAACAGCGGAGAGGAGGAGGAGGAGGAGACGAGGAAGAUGAGGUUGUAGAGGUGGUUUAUUUAGCUCGUCUGCCUCUCUUCCUCUUUCCAGUCCCCGUGGAUUAGGGCCUGGUCCGGAACGAGCAGUACAUCCACAGCUGCCGACUCGUUGAAGUAGAAAUCCAAAUCCAAAUCGAGGUUAGUGAUCGCUGUUCUGAUGUCCAGAAGAUGUUUUCGGUUGUAGGAAAUGAUCUCGGAAACAUUAUGUAAAAUAAAUAAGUUAAGACCACUAAAAAAAAAAUGGUGGGGGGGGGCAGAAUUGGUCAGGAGCCUGCAAGACAGCAGCUGUCCACUGCAGUCCUGUCAUGUUCAGUUAUGACUGGGGGAGGGGAAGCUGAUCCUAGAUCUGUCCCUAGUGGAAACUUCACCCUGGUGCAGUGUGGUCGGAGCUCAAUCAAGUUCAUCCAAUCCCUCCACCCUCCACACCAUCAUAAGCCCCGUCCACUGCCAGGGUUGCUGGGAGUUGUAGGCGUCUGUUUGGAGUGUGUGACUGCAGCUGUGUGUGUCCUCUCCUGUUUUCUCUGCUGUAUCCAGCGAUAGCAAUAAUUCCUCUCACUCUACCUUUCUCUUGUUCUCAUUUUUCUGUUAUUAUCGAUCUCCCCCCCAUCCUUCUUGUUCACAACCCAGGCUAGGUUUGGUUCCUGUAGUGGUGUGAUGUGUGUGUGUGUGUGUUUGGUGUAGUCGUCUGUAUUACAGUAUUUGUUCUGUUUAGGAGGUUGUAGGUGGGAAGGGG
ensembl:lncRNA